GCGGCGGCCACUUAGCGGCCGGAGAGCUCGCCAGUUGCCUCCGCCGCCGCCUUGGAAUCUGGGGACCCGACAGACGGCGAGACCCAGCCUCCGCCCGACCCCGGCGAGGCCGCGCGGCUGCUGCGCCUGCCCCACCCGCCGCACCUGGGAGCGGUGAUCACCAGGAGAGGUGGGGCGUGGCGAGCGGCUGGCCGGGCGCCGGAGCAGCUUCGCCAAAAGCCAGCCGGACCGGCGCAAGGCGGAGGGGGAGGGUCUCGGGGCAGAGGCCGGCUCCUCCGAGGGAGAGACCCCAGCUGGGGUGGAAAACGGCACAAACCAGCUGCACAGACGCUGGGCGCGGAUCAUGGAGCGGGCCAGCCCCGGCUCCGGGGAGUCGAAGCUGCAGCGGGACCAGGAUUCCGUGGAAGCGUGGCUGGAUGAUCACUGGGACUUUACCUGCUCUUACUUUGUUAGGAAAGCCACCAGGUAAGAAGAGGACCCCUGGAAGACCCACCCGGGGCGCUGAGAGUGACCUGGGGGCUCAUCUCUCUCCCUUACUGAAUUUUCCUCUUCCUUUACCAUUAAACGACCUCGGUUCCCAGGCCCUUUGCUUUUGAAGUAGGUCUUUGGUCCUGUUAGGGUGUAGACACCUCGACUUUAUGGCUAGUACAGUCGAAAAGCCCAAGCGUGGGAUUCGAUCCAACUUGCUCAAAAAGUUCAAUGCAAAAAUGUACAUGUGGACCCCCCCCCCACACACACACACACAGCCCGGCUGCCCCGGUAUUCCCUGAGAGCAAGAUUAUUUACAUACAUCCGCGCUCACGGGCCUUCCCCCAGCCCUUCUUUAGCCUCCUAGUCCCCCUAAAUCUCCUCAGCGAAACCAAAACAGUUUUGAGCCCCUUCCCUGCGGCUCCGGAAGCACCAUUUCCAACUCGGUCCCAGCAGCUCCGCUCCUCCCCCGUCCCCCCUCGCCCUGGCCCUUGGCGGGCGGGGAAGUCGGGGUAGGGGCGAGACCACGAGGAGCCCAAAGGCAGCAACAUGCCGGAGUCUUCCCAGAGUAAGCGCUGUCGCCUUUUGCCCCUUUCCAGUCCCUUGCUUGGCCCGGCGCUUCCUUUCACUCUCUCUUGCUCCCAAGGCGGCGCCGCUGAAAGGGCUCCGCAGAGGGGUUCGCGGCGCGCACACAAAGGGCGCUGGGGAGGCGCGGCGGGAGCCGACAGCGGGGCGCUGACGGGUCCCGCGCAGCCCCAGCCGACCCCAGAGGCCAGCUCUUCCCGGUCGAGAGCCAAGCGCCGGGCGGCCGCUGCCGAGGGCGGGGAGGAGGGUGCCUGUCCUUUGGGAGGUGGCUGCCCGGGGGGCAGUUGGGGCGCGCGUGGGAAAGGCUCCCGUAGAGUUGGGGAGGAAUUGAGGUUGAAGCCGAGGAAGGAGGGGCCGGAGCAGAGAGUGGAGGCGGGCGGAUGCCCUGAAGCCUGAGGAGUUGGUGAGAAGCCGCUGCGCGGGCAAAGGCUUCUACACGCGGACUCCGACUGACUCCAGGACGCGCCUCUUUGGAGAAGAGUCCCGGACCCGCCGCCGCCGCCGCCGCCGCCUCCAGGCAGCGGCCGUCGGGCAGCCGGCGCUGGCUGCCUUGGCCGCCAGGAAAGCGCACUCAGGGCGGUGAUGGUGGAGCGGCCGGCCGAGGCUCGGCGCUGGGCUCCCCCCCGCCGGCGUUCGGCCUCCGCUCUGCCGGGCGCUCCCCGCCAGGGGGCGGCGCAGCGCGGAGCGAGCGGGCUGCGGCGGGCGGCGGCCCGGUGGCGGGGUCGGUAAGGGAGCAGGCUUGGAGUCACCGCCUCCCCUGGGCACGUCGUCGCCCCCCGGCGCCUCCCGGAGUCCAGAGUCUGCGGAGGCCGCGUGGUCUGCACUUCGACCUUCCUAUGUUUGCUGUGUUGCCCUUUGGAGACAAAACAAGGCCGGUCUAGUAGACCACAACUACACACGCCCAGCCGGGACCCUGCGGAGCUUGACCACCCAGAACUGGGCGACCACGCCUACCCCCUGCGCCUGCGGACAGGCCAGCUCCGAAAAGCGCCCAGAGGACCUGCAGGCCCCGCCCCACGGGGCGGGGCCUAGAGGCUCAUCGCGCCUGCGCCGAGGCCCGAGGGCGUGCUGCGCCGUUACUUUUGAAACGAGUGGCGGGGAACUGCUGUGGGCGUCUCCGCCGUCGCUCUCUGCCGGGGGGAAGCGCACUCCUUCGUCUGUAGGACUGGCCAUGGCGCUGCAGCUCUCCCGGGAGCAAGGCAUCACCCUGCGCGGGAGCGCCGAAACCGUGGCCGAGUUCUUCUCAUUUGGCAUCAACAGCAUUUUAUAUCAGCGUGGCAUAUAUCCAUCUGAAACCUUUAAUAGAGUGCAGAAAUAUGGACUCACCUUGCUUGUAACAACGGAUCCUGAGCUCAUAAAAUACCUAAAUAAUGUGGUGGAACCGCCGAAAGGUAUUUAAUUGUUGCAAACCAUUUUGAGUUUUGCAGGCCUUGUAGAAACCCAUAUUUUCUGGCAUCUUGGUGGUCAUUUUUCAGCUCUGUACAAAAAGGUAUAAAACACUACAGCCUCAAAUAUAGUGAUUCUUAAUUGGAAGGAAGCAAAUAAUAUAUAAAUUGAAAGAAAGUCCACCCUUCCCAUACUGCAGUUUGAGUGGGUUGAAUAUUUUGAUAUUAGGAAUCUGAUAUGGCUUCACAAAACUGUCUCCAUCAACUUCCUUAGAAAUGAUUUUUGCAGUUCAUGUAGCCAGAUGGAACAAGUUGGAAUUUUCUGUCCUUAUGAUGGUGUUCACUAUCGGAGAAAAAUCCACUGUAUAUUUUUAACAUAUAUUUUCUGUAACUGCCUAGAGUUUAAAGCCAUCAUUACUUAAAGGAAAAUAAAAUUGGAUCCAACCUGGAAACUAAACUUAAAGAAAAGAACUACUAAGUAAUAGAGCACCCAGUAGAGUUUUAUUUUUUAUAUAUUUCCAUUUGUCUUUUUUAAAAUCCUGCCUUUAAUCAGUAAGCCUUUUCUAUCUGAACACUCACUGUUUUUCUUUAGCUCAAGAAAUUACUGUAUUGAAUCAAUACUUGUUCUCCAUCUAUUCCUUUUUCCCCUCAUAUUUUUCUCUACUUAGGAUUCUCACUUCUAAUUUUUCUGUUGUAGGAUGUUUCUCCCUAGCUCCCCAUUUGAUCUUCCAAAACUAGUUCCAAAAAACACUAGUCAUCAUUUUUUCUUAAUUCAUGAGUCAUAUAUAUUUCUUUGUAUCAAGUAGCUUUAUUUUUAAAAUUAGAUUAAUUGGGUUUUUUUUUUUGGAUUAUCUUCAGGGCUAAAAAGUAAGAUUAUUAGUAAGCAACUAAUAAUCUAUAUCAUCU